rfam:Thiotrichales bacterium SG8_50 WOR_8-12_124483, whole genome shotgun sequence.
GGAGAGGUGGCAGAGCGGUUGAAUGUACCUGACUCGAAAUCAGGCGUGGGCGCAAGUCCACCGUGGGUUCAAAUCCCACCCUCUCCG